rnacentral:sRNA from 1 species
AACAAACUACAGCUUACUACACAGAGCUGUGGCAAAUAAAUCCUAGCCCUAUCUUUGCAUAUAAAACAUUCUCUCCUUUUGGGAUUUUUAUCUAUUCCAUGUUGACUUAAGCAAUCACAUUUUCUCAACUCAAUGCGAAGUGACUUGGUGCUUUUGCCACGUCAAGCUGCCAGAAAGAACAUCAUCAUCAACAACAAACACAGCAACAACAACAAUAAAUUUUGUAAUAAAUAUAUAUGCAUGAUGGAAAAAAAAGUAUACCAACUAAGAAACAAACGGAAGAUGAAUGCAAAUGCGAGAGGCAGGCAACUCAUGAAACGGCAAUGUCAACGCAAACAACCAACUACGUGGGGAGGCCAUACAGCAUGGCACAUUCAUUAAAAUGGAGGGUUAUAGCAGGAUUUGUCGAGAGGAAAAGCUAUUGGAACAGUUGCUUUGGCAAUGAAAUUCAAGUUGUAGCAGGAAGCUCAAGCUGAUAGCAAAGCCGACCGAGGUGUUAAAAGUCAUAAAAAAGCAGGUUUUUUCAAAUGAACAACAAUCCACAAACUCUUUAAGGCACCCCUAUCAACUAAGGUUUCGAUUUAUAUGCUUGAACAACAAAACGAAAAUAUUUCUCAUCAAUCUUCCCCCAUUUGUCUAUCACUACAAAAGAGUUGUAAUCGCAAAAACAAAAACAACAAAGACCAAUAUCGAUGCUCA